rnacentral:lncRNA from 1 species
GUGUCUGCCGCAGUGGGACCAAUAGUGAUGGAGGUCCUGCUCCUGGAGUUCAGGAUUCUGGAAUCCACAUUCCUCUGCAGGGGAUCCGAGGAGGUUCUGUGCUGUUUCCUUUGCCCAAGAAGCAAGACGCUGAGCCGGAGGAGGUCACGUGGGGCUUUGGUCCUGCGUCAGAGUACAGAGUCCUGCUGCGAGUCCAUCCUGGGGAAGCUCCCAAGUGGGUCAGCCUCCAGGACAGGUACCAGCAGAGGGUCCAUGUGCCCAACAUGACGUCCCUGAAGAUUGAGAACCUGACCCCCGAGGACAGUGGGCUGUACCGGGCUCGAAGCAUCUUCACUGGAGGAGUAGAAUUUACCCAGGUUUUCCACCUCACUGUCUAUGAACCUGUGCCCAUUCCCCAGAUCCUGGUCCACUCACCAUCCAUCACGCAAGGCCUGUGCAAUGUCACCAUUGAGUGCAGGAUCUCAUGGGGCACAGAGGACCUGAAGGUGACCCGGGAGGGCAAGGGCCUCCCCAGGCAGCUGGAGGAGAGAGUGACACUGGGACCAGCCCCCAGUUCCUGGACCUUGGCUGUGCACCUUCCCCGGAGCCAGCCCUACACCAACAUCACCUGUGUGGUCAGCAACGAAGUGGACCAGAAAACUGCCACCUUCAACCUUGGGGAAGUCUGCCACCUCGGGGACGCCCAUGGUGAGUGCACCUGCCACAGGGGAGGGGCACUCUCAGAGUUCGGGUGCAGUGGGACGAAGGUUCUGGGCUUUUCUCCCCACCGUGUUAUUAGCACCACCUUCCAGGGGGUCACCCCAUUCAGGAGCCUGGGCAGCCCAUCCAGGCUGCAUCUGCUGUUAAGUCUCUCAGUCCAGGCUCUCCUUUCCACCCCUUGCCCCUGCUGGUCCAGGCAGCAGCCUUCCAGCUCCUCUCCUCACACUCAUUCCUCAUUCAUUGUGUGUCUAGAGUGGUCUUUUGGAAAAGUAAUCAGAUGUGUCCCUGGUGGUUGUUGUCUGUGGGAUCUGACGCAGUGACUCCCUGUGGGAUUCAGGGCUCACACGCUCCUCUGCCCACAUUUCUGGGCUUCACACCGAGCUGCUUGCGUGGUGUUCCUGAAUGUGUCCUGCUAUUGCGAGCUUUUGAGCAUCUGGUAAUGCGGUUUCCUCCACCAUCAGCCCUCCUGCCCCCGUCCUUCACGUCCUGACUUAUUCCUAUUGAAGGAGCCCCCAGCAGGCACAGCUACUUCCUGUGCAUGUGACCUGUGUUGUCACCUGGACUCAGAAAGGCGCCUCUCUUGGUUUAAAACUGUACAGGUGCCAUCUUGACAAGUUAACUCACUUUGGAACUAGAGGCCCUGGGGUUUCAUCUUCCCAGGGCCCUGCAGGUGCUGGAGCCACCCUGCCCCAGGCAUCACCCCCUAAAGGGGCAGUCAUGGCCACCCCCCACACGUGGAACACGCCACUGACCUUGAGGUCCACAGACAAAGUAGCAAUGUUCUGCUUAUGGAUCUGUCUCCUCUGUAGCCUGGAACUCCUUGAGGGCAGGGGCCAGGUCUAGUUCUCCUUUGAAUCCCUGUCCCAAGCGGGACAUCCUGCAAAGUGGUUCAUGGUGUUUCCUUGAAUGGAAGAAUGGCCUGGUCCCCUGUGUGCAGUCUUGCCCCUCUAGCCCAGCCUAUAGCAGCUGCUGGGGGGAUGUGAUGUGUCAGCAUCACUUAAAACCUUAUAUUACCCUCUUCUGGGGCCCAAACUGGAGUCUCAGAUGAAGGUCAACACUCAGCAUGACCCUUAAGACCCUGUGGAAAGAGACUCGUCCUCCCUCUGAUCCUUUUCAGCCAGGUCCUCCUGCCACAGUGAGGUGAUGGCAGUUCUAAGGCCGAUGAUUUGCCACAGCCAUUGCCUGAACGUGGGGCUCCUCCUUCCCGGAAUGCAGUCCUCAACCUGAAUACGUAGUAAACUCCUACUCCUGCCUCAAGACUCAGUUUUACACAUCACCUCCUCUAGGAAGCCCUCCCUGAAGACGUGUGUACGGGUGGAA